GACGAACGCUGGCGGCGUGCUUAACACAUGCAAGUCGAACGCUGAAGCUCAGCUUUUGUUGGGUGGAUGAGUGGCGAACGGGUGAGUAACACGUGAGUAACCUGCCCCCUUCUUUGGGAUAACGCCCGGAAACGGGUGCUAAUACUGGAUAUUCACUGGUCUUCGCAUGGGGGUUGGUGGAAAGGGUUUUUCUGGUGGGGGAUGGGCUCGCGGCCUAUCAGCUUGUUGGUGGGGUGAUGGCCUACCAAGGCUUUGACGGGUAGCCGGCCUGAGAGGGUGACCGGUCACAUUGGGACUGAGAUACGGCCCAGACUCCUACGGGAGGCAGCAGUGGGGAAUAUUGCACAAUGGGCGCAAGCCUGAUGCAGCGACGCCGCGUGAGGGAUGGAGGCCUUCGGGUUGUGAACCUCUUUCGCUAAUGGUCAAGCCGCAACAAUGGUUGUGGUGAGGGUAGUGGGUAAAGAAGCGCCGGCUAACUACGUG
rnacentral:rRNA from 1 species